GUCGAGCGAAGUAACAUGAGCUUGUAACCCAUGUGGGGACAUUAAGAUGGUGGAACACUGGUUCGGGUCCACGGGCCGGUUCUGUUGCUGGCAUGUUUCUGGGCUGCCCAGUCCAAGCUGUGAGUAAGACGUGUGUGUCAAGCGAAGGCUUGGCUCAAACGGCUGCUAAAGUUGGAGGGCAAUGCGUGAGGCUGGUUUCACAGAGCAGCGAUUACUUCCCGCUUACAGCAGUGGACGGAUCACAGUUUGGCGUCGCUCAGAACCACUAUGGCCUGCUGGUCCGAUCUCAUCUGAACCACCAUUUU
rnacentral:SRP_RNA from 14 species